AUUGAACGCUGGCGGCAGGCUUAACACAUGCAAGUCGAGCGGAGAUGAGGUGCUUGCACCUUAUCUUAGCGGCGGACGGGUGAGUAAUGCUUAGGAAUCUGCCUAUUAGUGGGGGACAACAUUCCGAAAGGAAUGCUAAUACCGCAUACGCCCUACGGGGGAAAGCAGGGGAUCUUCGGACCUUGCGCUAAUAGAUGAGCCUAAGUCGGAUUAGCUAGUUGGUGGGGUAAAGGCCUACCAAGGCGACGAUCUGUAGCGGGUCUGAGAGGAUGAUCCGCCACACUGGGAAUGGGACACGGCCCAGACUCCUACGGGAAGCAGCAGUGGGGAAUAUUGGACAAUGGGCGGAAGCCUGAUCCAGCCAUGCCGCGUGUGUGAAGAAGGCCUUUUGGUUGUAAAGCACUUUAAGCGAGGAGGAGGCUACCUGGAUUAAUACUCUAGGAUAGUGGACGUUACUCGCAGAAUAAGCACCGGCUAACUCUGUGCCAGCAGCCGCCGUAAGAC
rnacentral:rRNA from 1 species